GUUUGAUCAUAGCUCAGAAUCAACGCUGGCGGCGUGCCUCAGACAUGCAAGUCGAACGCGAAAGUUCCCUUCGGGAGCGAGUAGAGUGGCGCACGGGUGAGUAACACGUACGGUAAUCUACCUUUGGAUGGGGAAUAACAACCGGAAACGUUGCUAAUACCGCAUAAUGCAGCGGCACCUAAUGGUGACAGUUGUUAAAGCGGGGGAUCGAAAGACCUCGCGUCUGAAGAGGAGCCUGCGCGAUUAGCUAGUUGGUAAGGUAACGGCUUACCAAGGCGAUGAUCCGUAGCCGGCCUGAGAGGGCGGUCGGCCACACUGACACUGACAUACGGGUCAGACUCCUACGGGAGGCAGCAGUCGGGAAUUUUGGGCAAUGGGCGAAACUGACCCAGCAACGCCGCGUGAAGGAUGAAAUCCUCGGGAUGUAAACUUCGCAAGAACGGGAAGAAUAAGUAAGGGUUAAUAUCCCUUACGAUGACGGUACUGUUUGUAAGCUCCGGCUAACUCCGUGCCAGCAGCCGCGGUAAUACGGGGGGAGCAAGCGUUGUUCGGGAUUACUGGGCGUAAAGGGCGCGUAGCGCACCGCAAGUCGACUGUGAAAUCUCCGGGCUUAACCCGAAAG
rnacentral:rRNA from 1 species